UACGGAGGGUGCAAGCGUUAUCCGGAUUCACUGGGUUUAAAGGGUGCGUAGGCGGGUUGGUAAGUCAGUGGUGAAAUCUUCAAGCUUAACUUGGAAACUGCCGUUGAUACUAUCAAUCUUGAAUGUUGUGGAGGUAAGCGGAAUAUGUCAUGUAGCGGUGAGAUGCUUAGAUAUGACAUAGAACACCAAUUGCGAAGGCAGCUCACUACACAGCGAUUGACGCUGAGGCACGAAAGCGUGGGGAUCAAACAGG
rnacentral:rRNA from 1 species